GAUGAACGCUGGCGGCGUGCCUAAUACAUGCAAGUCGAGCGAACAGACGAGGAGCUUGCUCCUCUGACGUUAGCGGCGGACGGGUCAGUAACACGUGGAUAACCUACCUCUAAGACUAGGAUAACUUCGGGAAACCAGAGCUAAUACCGGCUACUAUAUUGAACCGCAUGGUUCAAUAGUGAAAGACGGUUUUGCUGUCACUUAUAGAUUGAUCCGCGCCGCAUGAGCUAGUUGGUAAGGUAACGGCUUACCAAGGCAACGAUGCGUAGCCGACCUGAGAGGGGGAUCGGCCACACUGGAACUGAGACACGGUCCAGACUCCUACGGGAGGCAGCAGUAGGGAAUCUUCCGCAAUGGGCGAAAGCUUGACGGAGCAACGCCGCGUGAGUGAUGAAGGUCUUCGGAUCGUAAAACUCUGUUAUUAGGGAAGAACAAAUGUGUAAGUAACUAUGCACGUCUUGACGGUACCUAAUCAGAAAGCCACGGCUAACUACGUG
rnacentral:rRNA from 1 species